CAGCCGCCACGGGAAUACGUAGGGUGCGAGCGUUAAUCGGAAUUACUGGGCGUAAAGCGUGCGCAGGCGGUUUUGUAAGACAGGCGUGAAAUCCCCGGGCUCAACCUGGGAAUGGCGCUUGUGACUGCAAAGCUAGAGUGCGGCAGAGUGGGAUGGAAUUCCGCGUGUAGCAGUGAAAUGCGUAGAUAUGCGGGGGAACACCGAUGGCGAAGGCAAUCCCCUGGGCCUGCACUGACGCUCAUGCACGAAAGCGUGGGGAGCAAACAGGAUUAGAUACCCCCGUAGUCCCUGUCUCUUAUAC
rnacentral:rRNA from 1 species